UCUUUUCCCCAUGGAACUAAUAUCUAGCCCACCGUCCCUUCCUCUCCAUUAUCCCUCUCUCCUCAUGGAACUAUUUCACGGUCGUUUGUUCUUCCUAAUGUCUCUCCCGCAUAGAAACAAAGCCAUUAUCUCUCUCAAACUAAUGCAAAGCAAACGGGGGCAUAGAUCUGAGAAAACCAAGAGGGGCCAUGGAUCUGGCGUGGUCAAGAGGCUUACUGCUUCAGAAUUGUUCUCGUGAUCUAGAUCAGGUUCCUUCUAAAACUAUUUUUUGUUGAAUCUUUUUCUUGCCGUUUUACCAUCCUAUAUUAUAAUUUGGAUUCGAAUUAAAAAAUUGUAUCUCACUUUUGAUCGUGGUGUGCUAGAAUUCAUCCUUAUCAGGAUUUGGAUUUCACCCUAAUUCUUCUCACGUACAAUUUUUGGGUGCCUCAAGGAGAUGGGGUCAGAGCACAAUUAUGUCCGACAGGUGUACUUAUAGAUAUAUAUCUUGCCAUCUUGGCUAUAUUUGAUUUCUCCGGAAAGCAGAAGGUGUCCAACCCUCUAGCCCUGGCCCCUUGGUUUCCCAGGACACAUCUCCCAUGGGAGCAUGGGAAGCGUCACACAAGCACAAGAGAUGCUGGAGAAACAGAGUAAACCCAGCGCCUACAGCUCACUAUGUGUGGCAUCGAGGAACCUUCAUUAAUUGCAGACGACAUGAUCAGUUCCACGCCAUAGCAUAUACAUCAUGUACGUUAUGGAUACAUGCAAAAAAUCUGUACAACGUUUAAACCUGAUCAACCAGCUAGGUAAAAUUUCAUUUCAGACAUUCGUCACAAUACUUCAGUUCCGUCUCCUUGAGCUAGGAUUAAUACACUAAUGGUCUG
rnacentral:lncRNA from 1 species